AUUGAACGCUGGCGGCAGGCCUAACACAUGCAAGUCGAGCGGAUGAAGGGAGCUUGCUCCUGGAUUCAGCGGCGGACGGGUGAGUAAUGCCUAGGAAUCUGCCUGGUAGUGGGGGAUAACGUCCGGAAACGGGCGCUAAUACCGCAUACGUCCUGAGGGAGAAAGUGGGGGAUCUUCGGACCUCACGCUAUCAGAUGAGCCUAGGUCGGAUUAGCUAGUUGGUGGGGUAAAGGCCUACCAAGGCGACGAUCCGUAACUGGUCUGAGAGGAUGAUCAGUCACACUGGAACUGAGACACGGUCCAGACUCCUACGGGAGGCAGCAGUGGGGAAUAUUGGACAAUGGGCGAAAGCCUGAUCCAGCCAUGCCGCGUAUGUGAAGAAGGUCUUCGGAUUGUAAAGCACUUUAAGAUGGGAGGAAGGGCAGUAAGUUAAUACCUUGCUGUUUUGACGUUACCAACAGAAUAAGCACCGGCUAACUUCGUG
rnacentral:rRNA from 1 species